rnacentral:rRNA from 1 species
GCAACUCGCCUGCACGAAGCCGGAGUUGCUAGUAAUCGCGGAUCAGAAUGCCGCGGUGAAUGCGUUCCCGGGUCUUGUACACACCGCCCGUCACACCAUGGAAGUUGGGGGUGCCCAAAGCCGGCAGGGAAAUAUGCUGUCUAAGGCAAAACCAAUGACUGGGGUGAAGUCGUAACAAGGUAUC